UAAAUAAACACUUGGAGGGAUGGUGCAAAGAGAACAGAGCCUGGCUCUUUUCAGUGGUGCCCAGUGAUGGGACCAGACACAGCGGGCACAAAAUGAAACA